rnacentral:rRNA from 1 species
ACCCGCUGAACUUAAGCAUAUCAAUAAGCGGAGGAAAAGAAACCAACAGGGAUUGCCUCAGUAACGGCGAGUGAAGCGGCAAUAGCUCAAAUUUGAAAUCUGGCUCCUUCGGGGUCCGAGUUGUAAUUUGUAGAGGAUGCUUCGGCUUCGGCCCCGGUCUAAGUUCCUUGGAACAGGACGUCACAGAGGGUGAGAAUCCCGUAUGUGGUCGGGGCCCCCGCCAUGUGAAGCUCCUUCGACGAGUCGAGUUGUUUGGGAAUGCAGCUCUAAAUGGGAGGUAAAUUUCUUCUAAAGCUAAAUAUUGGCCAGAGACCGAUAGCGCACAAGUAGAGUGAUCGAAAGAUGAAAAGCACUUUGGAAAGAGAGUUAAAAAGUACGUGAAAUUGUUAAAAGGGAAGCGCUUGCAAUCAGACUUGCCCGCGGUUGCUCAGCCGGUCUCUUGACCGGUGCACUCUUCCGCGGUCAGGCCAGCAUCAGUUCGGGCGGUCGGAUAAAGGCCUUGGGAAUGUGGCUCUCUUCGGGGAGUGUUAUAGCCCUUGGUGCAAUGCGGCCAGCCUGGACUGAGGUCCGCGCUUCGGCUAGGAUGCUGGCGUAAUGGUUGUAAAGCGGCCCGUCUUGAAACACGGACC